rnacentral:tRNA from 1 species
GGAGAGAUGGCCGAGCGGCUUAAGGCGCAGUUUUGGAAAAGCUGUUUACUAACAAACAUUAGUAACUAGGGUUCGAAUCCCUAUCUCUCCG